UACAGAGGGUGCAAGCGUUGUUCGGAAUCAUUGGGCGUAAAGCGCGUGUAGGCGGCCGCCUCAGUCUGGUGUGAAAGCCCAGGGCUUAACCCUGGAAGUGCACUGGAUACUGGGUGGCUAGAGGGUAUGAGGGGAGAUUGGAAUUCAUGGUGUAGGGGUGAAAUCCGUAGAUAUCAUGAGGAACAUCAGUGGCGAAGGCGAAUCUCUGGCAUAUUUCUGACGCUGAGACGCGAAAGCGUGGGGAGCAAACAGG
rnacentral:rRNA from 1 species